rnacentral:lncRNA from 10 species
GAGGAGGCAGGGCUUUGCCCAAACAUAAGACACCACGGUUUGAAUGAUGAGCUGGAAUUUGGGAGGGGAGGAAGAGGCAGCAUUGGCUGCUUUGUUUGUGAAGGUGGCAGGUAUGGCAGGAGGAAGGAGUUUGACUCCAGUAGAGAGCAGAGUGUUGGGAUUUAACCUGCCCUUCCCUUCCCUCUUCCUGCCUCUCUAGUUCCCUAUUCUCUACUGGUAUAGAUAGACUGGUAUAGAUAGAGGAAAGACUGCCUCUCUAGUUCCCUAUUCUCUACUGGUAUAGAUAGAGGAAAGACUGACACUCCUCUUCCUUUCCAUUAAUGGCUGCUCCUUUGAGUCAGGGCUCCUUUCCUUCCCCAUCCUAGGUCAGCACAGCAGACUCAAAGGUUUCUCACUGGACCCUGUUCUAAAAGCAGGUACAGCCUUUCUGAGAUUUUUCAUAAGACUUUUACCUGCCAGGAACAAUGGUAACAGACAUCAAGAACAAGAUGUACAAUCCCUGGAAAGCAGAUGAAGGUUAAGUUGCUGUCCUGUUCACCUGCCCAGUCUCUGUUUCCUGAAUUUCCUUCCAUUUACAGCAAGAAGCCCAUUCAUUUAUCCUGAAGCUCUCAGUACUUAGGUGCUUGUCCUUCUUGGUAUAAGUCAACUUGGUGUACGUUUCAUUUGAGUGACAGCUAGAAAAGCUCCACUCAAUAGUCACCUUGAUUGGAGGCAGAGGCCAAGUCACUUGCCACACCCAAGUCAGGAGGCUGCGUGUGUACAUGCAUGCAGAGGAAAGCCCAGGUGUAGAGGGGCUGACAAGGAGAGGAGGAAGGAGGAGAGAGGAGGGAGAACUCCUAGCGAUUGAAAGAAAGAUAAAUGGGAGCUACUGGUGUGAGUGGGACAACACAACGGAACCGUGGGAUGUCUGAAGACACUGUGCUCACUCAAGGAAGCGUGAAAGAGAGGAAGAAAAUUGGAGACCCAUAGAAAAUUAACAUUAGAUAAGGAUUCUAGAUGGUUUUUUGGUUAUAAAUACUUAGAGCUACUUGGUUUUAGCCUGAUAUCUACAAGUUAAUCUGUUGAGUUCCAGAUAAAAAGAAUACUGGUAAUGGAUUUAGAAGAGAAAUGAAUAAAAGACUGUUAUAUUUGCUGCCUGAAUAUUGUGAAACAUAUUUAACAUAUUCACAUAUGAGCUAUAAGACAAUAAGAGAAGUUAAAAUUUUGAUUGUAAAUGUGUAUCAUUUUCUAAAACAUUCAGAUGCUA